rnacentral:sRNA from 1 species
GUCGAGUGUCAUCAUCUCCAUCACCUGACCACCACUCGAUCACCUCACUUGACCCCAAGGUCGAGUGUCUUCAUCUCCAUCACCAGAUCACCACCGCGAUCACACCUCUCUACCGGGAAGUCGAGUAUCACCAUCACCACCACUCGACUACAUACUCGAUGGCAAGCUUCAGAGUCUUCUUCAUUCCGCACUCAACCAGACAUUCAAGCAUAAGAAAGAAAAGAAGACUCCAGCUAUUCACUCGACCUCCCACUCGACCACCUAGGUCGAGUACAGUUCUUAAUCCGUCCCAAUACUGCGUCGUUUUAAGUAUUAGGGUUUCGGAAUAUUUUGCUAUAAGUAGCAUGUACCCUACAUUUUCGAG